rnacentral:rRNA from 1 species
AUUGAACGCUGGCGGCAUGCCUUACACAUGCAAGUCGAACGGCAGCAUGAUCUAGCUUGCUAGAUUGAUGGCGAGUGGCGAACGGGUGAGUAAUACAUCGGAACGUGCCCUGUAGUUGGGGAUAACUAGUCGAAAGAUUAGCUAAUACCGCAUACGACCUGAGGGUGAAAGUGGGGGACCGCAAGGCCUCAUGCUAUAGGAGCGUCCGAUGUCUGAUUAGCUAGUUGGUGAGGUAAAGGCUCACCAAGGCGACGAUCAGUAGCUGGUCUGAGAGGACGAUCAGCCACACUGGGACUGAGACACGGCCCAGACUCCUACGGGAGGCAGCAGUGGGGAAUUUUGGACAAUGGGCGAAAGCCUGAUCCAGCAAUGCCGCGUGUGUGAAGAAGGCCUUCGGGUUGUAAAGCACUUUUGUCCGGAAAGAAAUGGCUCUGGUUAAUACCUGGGGUCGAUGACGGUACCGGAAGAAUAAGGACCGGCUAACUACGUG